rnacentral:rRNA from 1 species
AGCAGCAGCCGCGGUAAUACAGAGGGUGCAAGCGUUAAUCGGAAUUACUGGGCGUAAAGCGCGCGUAGGUGGUUUGUUAAGUUGGAUGUGAAAGCCCCGGGCUCAACCUGGGAACUGCAUCCAAAACUGGCAAGCUAGAGUACGGUAGAGGGUGGUGGAAUUUCCUGUGUAGCGGUGAAAUGCGUAGAUAUAGGAAGGAACACCAGUGGCGAAGGCGACCACCUGGACUGAUACUGACACUGAGGUGCGAAAGCGUGGGGAGCAAACAGGAUUAGAGACCCCCGUAGUCCCUGUCUCUUAUAC